AAGGCCACUCUCUGCCAGCAUGCAUGAAAGCAGACAGAGCCUCAUCCUUUAAAUGUGGCAUGCAGGAGGGCAUACUGGAAAGGAGGAGGAGGAGGAAAUGCUCACAGUGAGAGCUCCGAAUAUCUUGAGACCCAGAGACCCGGAAAAAUAUUGCAGUUGUGCAAGGAGGCAGAAUUAAGACAUCAUUUGCAAGAAACAUGAAUAAUGUGACUAAAAGUCCCUGCAAGAGGCAGAACCUGUAAAUUUGGAUUUGGCUGGAGAAUGCAAACAAGGUACUGCUGUAACAGACAGAAACAAAAGUCAUCUUCAGGACAGCUGACCCCAGAUGACCACAGGGAUAUCCCAGAUCUUCUGAGGUCAUGCUGAGCAACAAAAGCUGGAGGAAAAAGGAAGAGAUGAUGUUCAGAGCUUGGCAUUUUUGAUCCCAAGCUCUCCACCCCAUCCCAGUGGGGAGGAGGAAGAGUCUGAGGGGAGCUGAGCUGAUCUCCAGGGAUGAAUCAUGGCCCAGUACCCAACUGUGUGCACAAAGUGAGUGGAUCCAGAGAAAGCCACAGCUUCCCACCCCAUGGGAUUCAGCAGGCAAGCUGCCAGACCAUAUUAACACCUCCUAACAGCUCAGGUCAGAUGAGUUCAGAUGAGUUUACACACACUCUGCGAGCCAGAGCAAAAAAAAAGCUUGGCUGACCUCAAAAGGAGGUGUUCAGACCACAAUGAAUAAUAUACAUGAGGUUUGGUUGGCCCAGAACAAAACAGCACCAGUGAACCACAGCCGUGUAUGAAUGACAAAUCAAUUUGUUGGGAGCUGCUCUGAAAUAAGAUAUUUCCCUCCAGAGAAGGGUCACACCUUCAGAAACCUCUCCUUUGCUUCAGCAGUUACCAGGCAAAUAAUGAGGAAUUACUCCUCAGUGUUUUCCCUGAUGGAACAGCAUCACCCAUCACCUCUGAGGGAAACAAAGACUUGGGAUACAAAGUUCGUAGGUGGACCUUGUAACUCCAAAACUGAGAGCCCUUGGAAAGCAGCAGGCUGUCCUACCCAAUAAGCAUAAAAAACAAGUUGUGUUCUACCAGGAAAUGGAGAGCAGAAAUUUAUGAACAAUAUUGUUUGGGAUGAGUAAUUCACCCAGCUCUAAUUAUAAGUACAGCGCUCUGGAACAUUAUUGAUGAACAGCAUCCCAUAAGCCUCUAAUAACAACUGAAAAAGAAGAUAUCUGGCAUAUUUAGUGCUAAAUUACACAUUAAUAAAAACCACUAUUGUAUAGGUACUUUCUCAUCUAUUUGUUUAGGAUUUCUACAGUGUAUUAUGUACACGUGGAACUGGAAGACUGCCUAGUAAUAAAAUGUACUGGAAAUGGGAAAUUCAGACACCUUCUGGGAAGAUCACCUGUUUUCCCUGAGGCCUGGGCCCCAUCUGUGGUAGAAUUGCCUGUCUUCCUGACUUAGAAAAUGAAUUUUCUCAUAGAGGGAAUCCUACAAGCAAAAAUAAGCACCAAGAAUUGUUGUCAAACCCACAGUAAAUAUAGAACAACUAAAGGGCUAAAAUGAAAAAGGAAAAAACAGCAUUAUUGUCCUUUCAUAUUUCAAAACUGUGAACAUCCAUUAAGAAAAUGUUGUACCAAUGUGGAAUUUUUCUUCCUUUCUGCUCCUGUGGCUUCUGUGGGUAGAUUAGUAGAGGGUUCUGAUUUUGGAUGCCAUGGAAAAUCAUUGUACCACCAUAAGUUAGAGGUUAAGAUGUAAGAUGGGCCACAAGUCACAAAACCAACACAAAAAAAACCCCUUUAUUUCAUACUACUUUUUUCCUAGUAAUAAUACU